UGCACUUUCUCAUGACAGCCUUUGUGCUGUCAGAAGCUUGUGGUCUGUAAAGAAUAUUAGGACACAGAAGUGGACAAUGGAUGCCUAUAAAGGGAGCUAAGACAACCCAAGAUAACUUGGCUCUGGGCCUCCAACAUGCUAACUCCGCAGUCUACCAGGCCCAGCAGGUAAAGUCUUGAACACAAUCUAGCUUUCAUCUCUUGCGACCUCAGUCUCAUAACCAGCAGAGUUCCCAUUGGUUCCCACUGGUCCCAAUGGUCUUCAGCCUUUGGACAUCGUUUUGUCUUUUAGCUUGGCAAAAAUAAUAUAAGGCAUUUUAACAUGAUGGAGCUUAUGUUUAAGAGAAAGAGGAUGUUUCCAUUUAAACCUGAAGCGGGGGUUUAUUUAAAGAGAAACAGGGACAGGGACAAAGGUGAUUGUGCUGAUGAGAGAUAACAGGACAGCUUUCAGGGCACCUCCAGAGCAACCCCCACCCCAGGAGUCUCCAGUCCCGUUUCCCCAAACAAAGGAGAAUUUUGGCUUUUUAUAACCUUAGGGGAGUAGCAGAAGGUUUCCGUUCUGUAUGGCCUAUGUAACAGAGCCCUCAGAGGAGAUGGGGAUCAAAUUGUGAAGCCUGUCACGUCACAAUACAAACUGUUUUUUAACUCUCUGUCCCAGGACGCGUGGGGGGUGGGGAGGGGCAUAGAGCUGUAGCCUAAUUUAGGCUAUAGGAUCUGACUAGUGGGCCAAGAAAGACACAAUGCUAUCAAGAGAAGGGGGGAAGAGGAAGAGAGAGGGGGAAAGGUGGUGGCUGAAAGAGAAAGGGGAAAAAGAGAUAGAGGGAGAGGGCAUUCCCCUUAUUUAUAGGGAAAAUGAUGUAACACAGGUAAAAGUGGGAGGUGAGCCAAGUAGAUUCUGGGAAUAGGUGCCUGUUGCCUUGGCAACGGGUCUGCGGGUCGCACUGUCGCCUGUGUGACGUCAUAGGUUUGGGAGGUCGUGAUGCCAACAGCAUAAGCAUGCAGCAGUGAAUCCUUCAUUUGUCCAGACCCAGUCUCCAGGGCCACAGCUUCCUACACAGACAUCGCCCUGCCCAUCCGAUGGGGUUGUUAGCAUCUUUCUCUCCUCUUGAGGAAACACAACCGCUUGGGACUCAGUUCCUUUUUCAGAUUUAUGUCUUUCAGUCAAAGGCUAGAACGCAUGGUCGCAUGCAGGAGACGGUGCUAGAGAGGCAGCUGUCAGCUUUGGAUCUGGAUUUGCAGAACGCGUGACACAUUUUCUCCAAAUAGGCCACACAUCCUAAUAGUGCCACUCCCUAUGGAUCAACAUGGGCAUUCUCAUCAAACCACCAUGGUUCAGAGGUUCAUCAUCAAGGCAGGAACAUGGCAGCAUCCAGGCAGGCAUGGUACAGGAGGAGCUGAGAGUUCUACAUCAUCAUCUGAAGGCCUCUAGGAGAAGACUGGCUCCCACGAGUAGAGCCAUCAAGAUGACUAAAGGUGUUUCCUGAUAAGCCUGACAGCCUUGGUUGGAUCUCAGGACUCACAUGGUAGAAGGAGAGAACUGAUCUUUGCAAACUGCCUACUAACCUCCACAUGUGGUGCACACAUGCAUAAAUUCAUAAAUAAAUUAAAUGAAAAACAAAAGUCAACUGAAAAGUAACUCAAGAAUAAACCUGCCAUCUUCUGUCUUUCAACUUGUCACAGUGUUUCCAUUUGCUGUGUGAUGUCAUUUCAAGU
rnacentral:lncRNA from 1 species